GCAAGAAGAAGAGGAUGACAGAUGGCAGAUUCUUUACCAGCUGACUACAAGGGAAGCCCAAGAAUACUGGAAUGGUAGCCUAUCCCUUCUCCAGUGGAUCGUCCUUACUCAAGAAUCAAAGUGGGUCUCCUGCAUUGCAGCACACUCAAGAAGAGGAAUAAGUGUAAAAGGGCCUUGAUACAAAGAUGCUGGAAUAAUGGUGGACGUCUUAGACUUCUGAGUACCACACUGCUUAACAGACACUGUGGACAGACUUUAUUUUCUUGGGCUCCAACAUCACUGCAGAUGGUGACUGCAGCCUUGAAAUCAAAAGAUGCUUGCUCCUUGCAAGAAAAGCUAUGAACAACCUACACAGCAUAUUCAAAAGCAGAGACAU
ensembl:lncRNA